rnacentral:rRNA from 1 species
UGCCAGCCGCCGCGGUAAUACGGAGGGUGCGAGCGUUAAUCGGAAUUACUGGGCGUAAAGGGCGCGUAGGUGGCUCGAUAAGUCGGGUGUGAAAUCCCCGGGCUCAACUUGGGAAUUGCAUUCGAUACUGUCGAGCUGGAGUAUGGUAGAGGGAAGCGGAAUUCCCGGUGUAGCGGUGAAAUGCGUAGAUAUCGGGAGGAACAUCAGUGGCGAAGGCGGCUCCCUGGGCUAAAACUGACGCUGAGGUGCGAAAGCGUGGGGAGCGAACAGGAUUAGAUA